rnacentral:rRNA from 1 species
UCAAAUUUAAAAUCUGGCAGUCUUUGGCUGUCCGAGUUGUAGUCUGGAGAAGCGUUUUCCGCGCUGGACCGUGUAUAAGUCCCUUGGAAUAGGGCGUCAUAGAGGGUGAGAAUCCCGUCUUUGACACGGACUACCAGUGCUUUGUGAUGCGCUCUCAAAGAGUCGAGUUGUUUGGGAAUGCAGCUCAAAAUGGGUGGUAAAUUCCAUCUAAAGCUAAAUAUUGGCGAGAGACCGAUAGCGAACAAGUACCGUGAGGGAAAGAUGAAAAGCACUUUGGAAAGAGAGUUAAACAGUACGUGAAAUUGCUGAAAGGGAAACGCUUGAAGUCAGUCGCGUUAUUCAGAACUCAGCCUGGCUUUUGCUUGGUGUAUUUUCUGUAUGACGGGCCAGCAUCAAUUUUGGCCGCUGGAAAAAGGCUCUAGAAAUGUGGCACCUCCGGGUGUGUUAUAGUCUAGGGUCAUAUACAGCGGCUGGGAUUGAGGUCUGCAGCACGCCUUUAUGGCUGGGGUUCGCCCACAUUCGUGCUUAGGAUGCUGGCGUAAUGGCUUUAAACGACCCGUCU